rnacentral:rRNA from 1 species
UACGUAGGGGGCAAGCGUUGUCCGGAUUUAUUGGGCGUAAAGAGCGUGUAGGCGGCCAUACAGGUCAGCUGUGAAAACUCGAGGCUCAACCUCGAGACGUCGGUUGAAACCGUUUGGCUAGAGUCCGGAAGAGGAGAGUGGAAUUCCCGGUGUAGCGGUGAAAUGCGCAGAUAUCGGGAGGAACACCUAUGGCGAAGGCAGCUCGCUGGGACGUUACUGACGCUGAGACGCGAAAGCGUGGGGAGCAAACAGG